UACGGAGGGUGCAAGCGUUAUCCGGAUUCACUGGGUUUAAAGGGUGCGUAGGCGGGCAGGUAAGUCAGUGGUGAAAUCUCCGGGCUUAACCCGGAAACUGCCGUUGAUACUAUCUGUCUUGAAUAUCGUGGAGGUAAGCGGAAUAUGUCAUGUAGCGGUGAAAUGCUUAGAUAUGACAUAGAACACCAAUUGCGAAGGCAGCUUACUACACAGUAAUUGACACUGAGGCACGAAAGCGUGGGGAUCAAACAGG
rnacentral:rRNA from 1 species